UGCCCGUUGCCCGGGGACAACCGGUGGAAACGCCGACUAAUCCCCGAUGGGAUACGAUGCUUCAUGGCAUUGUAUUGAAAGUUACGGCGGCGACGGAUUGGCUCGCGUCCGAUUAGCUGGUUGGCGGGGUAACGGCCCACCAAGGCUACGAUCGGUAGGGGUUCUGAGAGGAAGGCCCCCCACAAUGGGACUGAGACACGGCCCAUACUCCUACGGGAGGCAGCAGUGAGGAAUAUUGGUCAAUGGGCGGAAGCCUGAACCAGCCAUGCCGCGUGCGGGAAGGAGGCCCUAUGGGCUGUGAACCGCUUUUGCCUGGGGGCAAUAAGGGCGUCGCGCACGUCCGAUGAGAGUACCAGGCGAAUAAGCAUCGGCUAACUCCGUGCCAGCAGCCGCGGUAAUACGGGGGAUGCGAGCGUUAUCCGGAUUCAUUGGGUUUAAAGGGUGCGUAUGCUGUGCGUCAAGUCGGGGGUGAAAUUCCGGUGCUCAACACCGGGGCUGCCCUUGAUACUGUCGCGCUGGAGUGCGGAUGCCGCCGGAGGAAUGAGUGGUGUAGCGGUGAAAUGCUUAGAUAUCACUCAGAACACCGAUUGCGAAGGCAUCUGGCGAAUCCGUAACUGACGCUGAGGCACGAAAGCGUGGGGAUAGAACAGGAUUAGAUACCCUGGUAUUCCACGCCGUAAACGAUGAUGGCUAACCGCCGGCGACACACUGUCGGUGGCCAAG
rnacentral:rRNA from 1 species